CAGUCAUAUAAUUUGUGGAAGCAGAUAUGUCUGAAAUAUGGAACCUGCAGCAAGGAGAUGAGCCAGCUGGUUCAGGCUUCAGCACAGAGCGAGAGAGACUUCCAGUGUCUGUUGGCGUGUAUGUGCUAGAGAGUAUAUAUGUAUGUGUGUGUGUGUCUGCCGAGAGGAGAGAAGACUGCCUUCCAGCAGUGUGUGUGGGGGCAAUUGUGUUUCUUUGCUUGAGCUGGUGUGAGUGUGUGAGUUCUUUACUCCGAAUAGUAGAAGAAUGGC
ensembl:lncRNA